AUCGUGAGGUGUGGGAGAGAGGAAGCAAUAGCGAAAUCGUGGCUUGACGAACAGGAACAGAAUAUAAGGCGUAAACGGCGGAUGAGUUGGCCUAAGACAACAAAGUCCAAAAGGUAAUCGUAACCCUAAGGCGUAAAUUCUGCAAGUAAACGAGGAAAGAGA
rnacentral:ncRNA from 1 species